rnacentral:rRNA from 1 species
UCUUCGGAGAGUUUGAUCCUGGCUCAGGAUGAACGCUGGCGGCGUGCCUAAUACAUGCAAGUCGAGCGAACGUCAUAGAAGCUUGCUUCUAUGACGUUAGCGGCGGACGGGUGAGUAACACGUGGGCAACCUGCCUGUAAGACUGGGAUAACUCCGGGAAACCGGAGCUAAUACCGGUUAACAUUUUCUCUUGCAUAAGAGAAAAUUGAAAGAUGGUUUCGGCUAUCACUUACAGAUGGGCCCGCGGUGCAUUAGCUAGUUGGUGAGGUAACGGCUCACCAAGGCAACGAUGCAUAG